CCAAAAUUAUAUUCAAUAAUUGGUCAAUAAUGGCAUGGUCAAUUAUUGUAAAUGAAAUAGUAACAUAAUGACAAGAAAAGCAUAGUCCUUGCAAAGGACUAAUUUAGCUUUUCAUCAAAUUUUCUUAUGGCCCAGCCAUAGCAGACAAAAUGUCCACCUUCAUGAAUAGAAAACAAUUACACGGUUAUGCAACGGUGCAAACCAUGAAAAAAAUUAUACAGCUAAUCUCAAUUCAAUUGAUUAAUGCCUAAAUCAAUUGCAAAACAAGGAAAAGGUUGGGUUGUUGGGGGGGG
rnacentral:misc_RNA from 1 species